AUUGAACGCUGGCGGCAGGCCUAACACAUGCAAGUCGAGCGGAGCGGCGGAAGGGCGAGUAAUGCCUAGGAAUCUGCCUGGUAGUGGGGGAUAACGUCCGGAAACGGGCGCUAAUACCGCAUACUAUCAGAUGAGCCUAGGUCGGAUUAGAUAGUGGGUGGGGUAAAGGCCUACAAAGGCGAAGAUCCGUAACUGGUCUGAGAGGAUGAUCAGUCACACGGGAACUGAGACAAGGGCCGGAUUCUUACGGGAGGCAGCAGUGGUGAAUAUUGGACAAUGGGCGAAAGCCUGAUCCAGCCAGGGCGCGUGUGUGAAGAAGGUCUUCGGAUUGUAAAGCACUUUAAGUUGGGAGGCGUUACCAACAGAAUAAGCACCGGCUAACUUCGUGCCAGCCGCCGCGGUAAUUC
rnacentral:rRNA from 1 species